rnacentral:tRNA from 1 species
GCAGAUAUGGCGGAAUUGGCAGACGCAAUGGACUUAAAAUCCAUUGAUAGAAAUAUCGUACGGGUUCAAGUCCCGUUAUCUGCACCA